rnacentral:rRNA from 1 species
CCUACGGGAGGCAGCAGUGAGGAAUAUUGGUCAAUGUGCGCGAGCCUGAACCAGCCAAGUCGCGUGAGGGAAGACGGUCCCAUGGAUUGUACACCUCUUUUGUCGGAGAGCAAAAGACGCCACGCGUGGCGUUCCGAGAGUACCCGAAGAAACAGCAUCGGCUAACCCCGUGCCAGCAGCCGCGGUAAUACGGAGGAUGCGAGCGUUAUCCGGAUUUAUUGGGUUUACAGGGUGCGCAGGCGGAAGAUCAAGUCAGCGGUAAAAUUGAGAGGCUCAACCGCUGCGAGCCGUUGAAACUGGUUGUCUUGAGUGAGUGAGAAGUAUGCGGAAUGCGUGGUGUAGCGGUGAAAUGCAUAGAUAUCACGCAGAACUCCAAUGGCGAAGGCAGCAUACCGGCGCUCAACUGACGCUCAUGCACGAAAGUGUGGGUAUCGAACAGGAUUAGAUACCCCAGUAGUC